AGCACAGUGGUGCAGCUUAUUACUACAAUUGGAACAACAGAGAGACGAUCAGAACGGCCUCUGCGAGGAUGACACACACAUUCAUGAUGCUUCCAUGAUUUUG